rnacentral:rRNA from 1 species
GAGCCAAAUCUAAUUAGAGGAACCUGUCCUAUAAACGACAAUCCACGCCGAACCUUACCUUUUCUUGUUGAACAAUUUGUAUACCGCUGUUUUAAGGAAACUUUGACAAAUCACCCCCCAAUUAACUAACUAUGUAUUAUUUACCUAAUUCAAGUCAGGGUGCAAUUAAUGAAAAGGAAGAGAUGGGUUACAAUAAAUGUGGCUUAAUGAAUGUUUUUAAUGAAUACAAAAAACUGAAAAUGGAUUUAAUAGUAAAAACAUUUUAAAAAGAUGUUUUGAAUGAGAAAUAGCUCAUGUACAAAC